rnacentral:rRNA from 1 species
GUCCACAGUCAUAUCACGUUCAAAUCACCAGUUAUCGUCUGAUCACUUUAGUUAACCAACGUCGGGUUCGUUUAGUUCUUGGAUGGGUGAACGAGAACACCAAUUAAUGUUGUGC